GACCGCGUAGCUCAGUUGGCAGAGCGUUGGGCUAGUAUUCCAAAGGUUGUAGGUUCGAUUCCCAUCGUGGCCA
rnacentral:tRNA from 1 species